rnacentral:rRNA from 1 species
UACGUAGGGUGCAAGCGUUGUCCGGAAUUAUUGGGCGUAAAGAGCUCGUAGGCGGUUUGUCACGUCGGCUGUGAAAACCUGGGGCUCAACCCCGGGCCUGCAGCCGAUACGGGCAAGCUAGAGUUCGGCAGGGGAGACUGGAAUUCCUGGUGUAGCGGUGAAAUGCGCAGAUAUCAGGAGGAACACCGGUGGCGAAGGCGGGUCUCUGGGCCGAUACUGACGCUGAGGAGCGAAAGCGUGGGGAGCAAACAGG